CGCAGCGAAAGCGAGUCUUAAUAGGGCGAAUGAGUUAGUAGGAUCAGACCCGAAACCGAGUGAUCUAGGCAUGAGCAGGUUGAAGGUAAGGUAACACUUACUGGAGGACCGAACCCACAUCUGUUGAAAAAGAUCGGGAUGACUUGUGCCUAGGGGUGAAAGGCCAAUCAAACUCGGAGAUAGCUGGUUCUCCGCGAAAUCUAUUUAGGUAGAGCGUCGCACGAAUACCUUGGGGGGUAGAGCACUGAAUGGGUAAUGGGGACUCACCGUCUUACUGAUCCUAAUCAAACUCCGAAUACCCAAGAGUAAUAUGCGGCAGACACACUGCGGAUGCUAACGUCCGUAGUGGAGAGGGAAACAACCCUGACCCUCAGCUAAGGCCCCUAAUUCAUGGCUAAGUGGGAAAGCAGGUGGGACGACCAAAACAACCAGGAAGUUGGCUUAGAAGCAGCCAUCUUUUAAAGAUAGCGUAACAGCUCACUGGUCUAAUUUAAGUUAUCCUGCGGCGAAGAUGUACCGGGGCUCAAGCCAUGAGCCGAAGCUAGGGAUGCAAUUUAUUGCAUGGUAGCGGAGCGUUCUGUGAUAUAGAACGCUGCGUCUUUAGUAUCUUAGGAUAUUUUGGACGCAAUGUUCUGACUGUGAAGCCGGCGCGUAAGCGAUCCGGUGGAGUGAUCAGAAGUGAGAAUGUUGACAUGAGUAGCGACAAACAGGGUGAGAGACCCUGUCGCCGAAAGUCCAAGGGUUCCUGCUUAAAGCUAAUCUGAGCAGGGUAAGCCGACCCCUAAGGCGAGGCCGAAAGGCGUAGUCGAUGGGAACCAGUUUAAUAUUACUGGGCCAGGAGAUGGUGACGGAUCGAAAGCGUAGUGACUCCUUAUCGGAUUGAAGUUGCUGCCGGACGGUUCCUGGAAAUAGCCCUCCAUUAGAUCGUACCCUAAACCAACACAGGUGGACUGGUAGAGAAUACCAAGGCGCUUGAGAGAACUACAUUGAAGGAACUCGGCAAAAUGCCUCCGUAAGUUCGCGAGAAGGAGGCCCCAUCAGAAGGCAACUUUUGGUGGGGGGCACAGACCAGGGGGUGGCGACUGUUUACUAAAAACACAGGGCUCUGCGAAGUCGUAAGACGACGUAUAGGGUCUGACGCCUGCCCGGUGCUGGAAGGUUAAGAGGAGGUGUGCAAGCACUGAAUUGAAGCCCCAGUAAACGGCGGCCGUAACUAUAACGGUCCUAAGGUAGCGAAAUUCCUUGUCGGGUAAGUUCCGACCUGCACGAAUGGCGUAACGACUUCCCCGCUGUCUCCAAUGUAGACUCAGCGAAAUUGAAUUGCCUGUUAAGAUGCAGGCUUCCCGCGGUUAGACGGAAAGACCCCGUGCACCUUUACUACAGCUUCACACUGGCAUUAGGUCAGACGUGUGCAGGAUAGGUGGUAGGCUUUGAAACUCGGACGCCAGUUCGGGUGGAGCCUCCCUUGAGAUACCACCCCUGUCUGUCUUGAUGUCUAACCGCGGUCCGUUAUCCGGAUCCGGGACCCUGUGUGGCGGGUAGUUUGACUGGGGCGGUCGCCUCCUAAAGAGUAACGGAGGCGCGCGAUGGUUGGCUCAGACCGGUCGGAAAUCGGUCGUCGAGUGCAAUGGCAUAAGCCAGCCUGACUGUGAGUCUGACAAGACGAGCAGAGACGAAAGUCGGUCAUAGUGAUCCGGUGGUCCCGAGUGGAAGGGCCAUCGCUCAACGGAUAAAAGGUACGCCGGGGAUAACAGGCUGAUACUGCCCAAGAGUCCAUAUCGACGGCAGUGUUUGGCACCUCGAUGUCGGCUCAUCUCAUCCUGGGGUCGGAACUUACCCGACAAGGGUAUGGCUGUUCGCCAUUUAAAGAGGUACGUGAGCUGGGUUUAGAACGUCGUGAGACAGUUCGGUCCCUAUCUGCCGUGGGUGUAGGAGACUUGAUGGGAGUUGCCCCUAGUACGAGAGGACCGGGGUGAACGAUCCACUGGUGGAUCUGUUGUUGCGCCAGCAGCAGUGCAGAGUAGCUAUGAUCGGACAGGAUAACCGCUGAAGGCAUCUAAGCGGGAAGCCCCCCCAGAAACAAGGUCUCCCUUGAGGGCCGUGGAAGACCACCACGUCGAUAGGUCGGAGAUGUAAGUGCUGUAAAGCAUUCAGUUGACCGAUACUAAUUGCCCGAUAGGCUUGAUUUG
rnacentral:rRNA from 1 species